rnacentral:rRNA from 1 species
CCCUUAGAUGGUCUGGGCUGCACGCGCGCUACACUGAUGCACUCAACGAGUUUACGACCUUGCCCGAUAGGGUUGGGUAAUCUUUUUAAAAUGCAUCGUGAUGGGGAUAGAUUAUUGCAAUUAUUAAUCUUCAACGAGGAAUUCCUAGUAAGCGCGAGUCAUCAGCUCGUGCUGAUUACGUCCCUGCCCUUUGUACACACCGCCCGUCGCUCCUACCGAUUGAGUGCUCAGGUGAAUAAUUCGGACUGCAGCAAUGUUUGGAUCCCGAACGUUGCAGCGGAAAGUUUAGUGAACCUUAUCACUUAGAGGAAGGAGAAGUCGUAACA